CUUACAUCCACUUUCUCUCCAAGGUCCCUACACACCCCACUUCAGAGUCAGCAACUUCAUAGUGCAGCAAACACGACAGAAAGUGAUCAUGUUGUGGGGAGGGUACACCAAGCCGCAUGCCGAUGCUCAGGAAGACUGUUGGGAAAAGAGCCUUAUCUUCCUACGGCAACACCUCUACCCCAGCCCUGACUCUGUCCCAAAGGCCAAGCUGUGAUGUCACACCCAAAGAGCAUCAAAGACCUAGUAUGAUUGACUAAGCUAUAACUUAAAAAAAUAAAAAUACAUUAACACAUUAA